rnacentral:rRNA from 1 species
CAGUAGCCACGGGAAUACGGAGGGUGCAAGCGUUAAUCGGAAUUACUGGGCGUAAAGCGCACGCAGGCGGUUUGUUAAGACAGAUGUGAAAUCCCGAGGCUCAACCUCGGAACUGCCUUUGAUACUGGUGAUCUUGAGUUCGGAAGAGGUUGGUGGAACAGCUAGUGUAGAGGUGAAAUUCGUAGAUAUUAGCUAGAACACCAGUGGCGAAGGCGGCCAACUGGUCCGAUACUGACGCUGAGGUGCGAAAGCGUGGGGAGCAAACAGGAUUAGAGACCCCCGUAGUCCCUGUCUCUUAUAC